rnacentral:lncRNA from 1 species
GGCUUGGAAACACUGCUGUCCCAUAGCAAGGAGAGCCUGGAAGAAAAUGAGUCCCUUACAGGGACAAAAGGAAGUAUUUUGAGUGCUCAAAUCCUGUUCCAAUUUGUGUCCCUCUGAAGCCUGAGGAACUACCCUGCCCCUCGGUGGCAUGCAGUUCAGAUUUGCUGGACUUAGGACCACAUUUGUGGUUUACAAUGGCUGCUUAGUGCUGCUCCACACUUGCCUUUAUAUCCCUCUGAAGAAGGACUCAUUAAGCUACUAUACAGGGCAUUUGAGUUGGUGACCCUGGGCAUGAUUGUGAUAUACCUGGAACCUGGCUCUCUGAAGAAAAAAAAGUCCUGAUUUGUAGAGUUUGCCAAAUUCCAUGUGUCACUGAUUCGUGUUUAUGGAGCACCUACCAUGUACAAAACUCUUCCAGAAUCUACGGGAAGCCAAAUGACUCUGCUGGCCCGCACCACACUUACAGACUGCUAAGAGAACUAAGAGGAGGAUGGAGGGACAGAAUCUUCUGGAAGGGACUCUGGGAAAGCUUCAUAAAAGAGCGUUCACUGGAGAUGAGCCUUGAAGAGAUUAGAGGCAAAACCUGAGGCUUUGGGAGAUGGAGUCCCAGGCAUGCGGCCCUGACCUGACUCAUCUGGAAAAGAACCAGGAGGGUAACUGGACUCCAGUCCCCAGUGGUCUGCCUCUCUGGAGGAUCUGAGCGGGGCCCAGCCCAAGCCCUGGGGGGAAGCACAUGGCCCAGGCCCGCAUCAACGAACAUGUGGCACUCCCCCUCCCCCAGUGACUGACUUACAGCAGGCCACGUGAUACAAGAAGACAAUCAGCUUGAACUUUGGGACUUCUGCAGAGAAAACUAGGACAGAGAACUUUCAUAUUUUCCCAUGGCACAUUAUCCUGAAAGGAUUUAGCCCUGGAACCUUCUGAUGGCCUUCUUGAAGGAAAAGAGAGUCUUAGAACGGAAGUAAUAUAAAGGAAGAGGACCUAAGAGAUGGAGACAGUGAAACCAGAUCCGGAGAACACUGACAAAGCCAGAUGUCCUCCUGGACACCUGUUACACACGCUAACAAAUCUCCC